UGUUCCCAUACAAUCACCAAAGUUAAGCAACAUUGAGCUUGGUCAGUACUUACAUGGGUGACCGUUUGGGAAUACCAGGUGCA